CCUAGCUAAACAAUGUAUUUAUAAGUAUUGAAUGCUUCUUUUUGUAACUUCAUAGGGUUGUAAAAGCGUUGACCGUGCGCAAUUUUUUUAGAAUGAAGCGCUUCCGCGCUUCAUACAAAAUGUACUUCGGUCAACGCUUUUACACCCCAAUGAAGUUACAAAGAGAAGCAUUCAAUAAAUAAAUAUAAACAAGGACAUCCUGUGUUAAGCAAACAUGUGUAUCACGGCACAAGAGAUCACCUAUAGACCGUGUAUAUCAUAUGUAUAUUUAGGGUGGGUUGCUCCGAAUAAAGGAGAUAUAGAUACAGGAAAAUAAAGAAAAAAAAAUAAAAAUUUAGAAUAGUGUAUAACGGGCAAAAUAAAGAUCAGAGGAAAAUGGUAUAAGAAAAUUAAAGAAUAGAGGGAGUGGUCUAGUUUUUGCCGGACAAAUGUUGAUGAUUAUUUAAAGUCAAGUGCAUUUAUAGGAUAAAUAAUACACAAUCGUUUGUACAUUGGUAGGGAUUUAUGUUUAGAGUUGAUGAGGCAC
rnacentral:lncRNA from 1 species